rnacentral:rRNA from 1 species
CGUGGGUAACCUGCCCAAGAGAUCGGGAUAACACCUGGAAACAGAUGCUAAUACCGGAUAACAACAGAUGAUGCCUAUCAACUGUUUAAAAGAUGGUUCUGCUAUCACUCUUGGAUGGACCUGCGGUGCAUUAGCUAGUUGGUAGGGUAACGGCCUACCAAGGCGAUGAUGAAUAGCCGAGUUGAGAGACUGAUCGGCCACAUUGGGACUGAGACACGGCCCAAACUCCUACGGGAGGCAGCAGUC